rnacentral:rRNA from 1 species
CAGCCGCCGCGGUAAUGCGUAGGGUGCAAGCGUUAAUCGGAAUUACUGGGCGUAAAGCGUGCGCAGGCGGUUCUAUAAGACAGAUGUGAAAUCCCCGGGCUCAACCUGGGAACUGCAUUUGUGACUGUAGAGCUGGAGUGCGGCAGAGGGGGAUGGAAUUCCGCGUGUAGCAGUGAAAUGCGUAGAUAUGCGGAGGAACACCGAUGGCGAAGGCAAUCCCCUGGGCCUGCACUGACGCUCAUGCACGAAAGCGUGGGGAGCAAACAGGAUUAGAUACCCCUGUAGUCCCUGUCUCUUAUAC